GUGAAUCAUCAAAUUUUUGAACGCAAAUUGCACUCUCCGGUUUUCCGGGGGAGUAUGCCUGUUUGAGGGUCAGCCUAACAAAAAUCGACAUUGUUGCUGUUAUUUAUUGGUGACUUUCGUCGGAGAUUGGGUUAUCUUAAACCUUUUUUUUUUUUUUUUUAUGAGGCAUUUAAUCUUUUUUCUCUCUUUUCACUAAUAUUUA
rnacentral:misc_RNA from 1 species